rnacentral:rRNA from 1 species
GAUUGAACGCUGGCGGCAUGCCUUACACAUGCAAGUCGAACGGCAGCACGGGUGCUUGCACCUGGUGGCGAGUGGCGAACGGGUGAGUAAUACAUCGGAACAUGUCCUGUAGUGGGGGAUAGCCCGGCGAAAGCCGGAUUAAUACCGCAUACGAUCUACGGAUGAAAGCGGGGGACCUUCGGGCCUCGCGCUAUAGGGUUGGCCGAUGGCUGAUUAGCUAGUUGGUGGGGUAAAGGCCUACCAAGGCGACGAUCAGUAGCUGGUCUGAGAGGACGACCAGCCACACUGGGACUGAGACACGGCCCAGACUCCUACGGGAGGCAGCAGUGGGGAAUUUUGGACAAUGGGCGAAAGCCUGAUCCAGCAAUGCCGCGUGUGUGAAGAAGGCCUUCGGGUUGUAAAGCACUUUUGUCCGGAAAGAAAUCCUUGGCUCUAAUACAGUCGGGGGAUGACGGUACCGGAAGAAUAAGCACCGGCUAACUACGUGCCAGCAGCCGCGGUAAUACGUAGGGUGCGAGCGUUAAUCGGAAUUACUGGGCGUAAAGCGUGCGCAGGCGGUUUGCUAAGACCGAUGUGAAAUCCCCGGGCUCAACCUGGGAACUGCAUUGGUGACUGGCAGGCUAGAGUAUGGCAGAGGGGGGUAGAAUUCCCACGUGUAGCAGUGAAAUGCGUAGAGAUGUGGAGGAAUACCGAUGGCGAAGGCAGCCCCCUGGGCCAAUACUGACGCUCAUGCACGAAAGCGUGGGGGAGCAAACAGGAUUAGAUACCCCUGGUAGUCCACGCCCUAAACGAUGUCAACUAGUUGUUGGGGAUUCAUUUCCUUAGUAACGUAGCUAACGCGUGAAGUUGACCGCCUGGGGAGUACGGUCGCAAGAUUAAAACUCAAAGGAAUUGACGGGGACCCGCACAAGCGGUGGAUGAUGUGGAUUAAUUCGAUGCAACGCGAAAAACCUUACCUACCCUUGACAUGGUCGGAAUCCCGCUGAGAGGUGGGAGUGCUCGAAAGAGAACCGGCGCACAGGUGCUGCAUGGCUGUCGUCAGCUCGUGUCGUGAGAUGUUGGGUUAAGUCCCGCAACGAGCGCAACCCUUGUCCUUAGUUGCUACGCAAGAGCACUCUAAGGAGACUGCCGGUGACAAACCGGAGGAAGGUGGGGAUGACGUCAAGUCCUCAUGGCCCUUAUGGGUAGGGCUUCACACGUCAUACAAUGGUCGGAACAGAGGGUUGCCAACCCGCGAGGGGGAGCUAAUCCCAGAAAACCGAUCGUAGUCCGGAUUGCACUCUGCAACUCGAGUGCAUGAAGCUGGAAUCGCUAGUAAUCGCGGAUCAGCAUGCCGCGGUGAAUACGUUCCCGGGUCUUGUACACACCGC